GAUGAACGCUAGCGGUGUGCCUAAUACAUGCAAGUCGAACGGUUCUUUCUUUGAUGAAGCUUCGGCAGAUUCGUUGAAAGAAUAGUGGCGAACGGGUGAGUAAUGCAUGAGCAAUCUGCCCUAAAGACCGGAAUAAGCUUUCGAAAGGAAGUCUAAUACCGGAUAAUAAAAUCAGAUCGCAUGAUUUGAUUUUCAAAGGUAGCUUUUUAAGCCUCUGCUUUUGGAUGAGCUCAUGUCCUAUCAGCUAGUUGGUGAGGUAAAGGCUCACCAAAGCUAAGACGGGUAGCCGGUCUGAGAGGAUGGUCGGCCACACUGGGACUGAGACACGGCCCAGACUCCUACGGGAGGCAGCAGUAGGGAAUCUUGCGCAAUGGGCGAAAGCCUGACGCAGCGACACCGCGUGGAGGAUGAAGGUUUUCGAAUCGUAAACUCCUGUCAAUAGAGAAAGAAGGUAUUAUAGGUUAAUAGCUUAUAAUAUUGACGGUACUCUGUAAGGAAGCCCCGCUAACUA
rnacentral:rRNA from 1 species